UAUACUUUGGUAUAAGAUGUACAAUAGAUUUUGAUUCUAUCGGACUGGUUUGAUUCCAGGAUGUGUAA
rnacentral:tRNA from 1 species